ACGUAGGGGGCAAGCGUUGUUCGGAAUUACUGGGCGUAAAGGGCAUGUAGGCGGUCUUAUAAGCCUGGCGUGAAAGGCUGCAGCUCAACUGUAGCACUGCGUUAGGAACUGUUAGACUUGAGUUAUGGAGAGGGAGUUAGAAUUCCAGGUGUAGGGGUGAAAUCUGUAGAGAUCUGGAAGAAUACCGGUGGCGAAGGCGAACUCCUGGCCAAUGACUGACGCUGAGGUGCGAAAGUGUGGGGAUCAAACAGGAUUAGAUACCCUGGUAGUCCACACUGUAAACGAUGUGCACUAGGUGCUGGGGCGGAUGUCUCAGUGCCGGAGCUAACGCGGUAAGUGCACCGCCUGGGGAGUAUGCUCGCAGGGGUG
rnacentral:rRNA from 1 species